AUUACCACUCUCUCUCUCUCUCUCACACACACACAGUCUGACACACACUUCUUCAUGACUCAACGAUCCUUUCAAUCAUCAGUUUCACGCUCAAUCGCAUGAUGCUAUGGAGAAGAUCGAGGAAACAGAAAUGUGCAUCAUAUGUGUUCGACGACAUUCAGUAGAUCUAACUCGUAUCAGUAUGUUAUUCAGUCGAUCAGUGUGUUGUAAUUUACCGGACAGAUUAUUGCAAGUCGGUAUCACACGCCAAUUACAGGCGCCUUCGACAUUCAGGAGUUGUUACUCGUAAUCGGUAUAAUAUUCAAUUGAUCAGCUAAAGCUAAAUGAUGGAUAUUGAGAGUGACGUUCAAGUUUGUGCUAAAUGAGUCUGGGAGUGUAUCAAUUGCAAUCGAUUCUGUCCGGCAAAUUAUAUUAAACAAAUUUCUUGAAGCUGACUCUGUAGCUCACGAAGCAUUGCAGAUUUUCCAACUGACAAACAUCCAAGCCACAUAGGUAAUGGUAGAGCAAAAGAAGGGACCUGAUGAUUCUGGCAAAAGCAUAGAUGUAAAUCAGGUUGCUCCUUCUAAUUAAUUGUACAAUUUUCUGUGCUAUGGGUGGUAGCAAGCGUAUGAUUGCUGAACAAUCAACUUUUAUGAUAAGCAAAUUCAAAGUCUAUCGCAGUCCCACAUCGGCAGAGUGAAGAACACAAAGAUGAAGAGACAUCCUAUAUAAACAGCGGCCCAAGAAGAGGAAAAGCAUACCUUUCUCGGCCUUUUGGCUAAGAUCAAGUGUAGUAUCUGUUCUUAUCAGUUUAAUAUCUGAUAUGUGGGCCAUCGGCCCACUCGAUAUUAAUCUUAUUUUUUAUGGGGAAAGACCCAUCACAAUAGCUUGCUAUUGGGGUCUUUAAGCGUCGCCUUGGCGUUGCACUACUGCCUUGGCUUGGCGCACCCCUCCAAACUGCGCACCCCUCCAAACUUUAGUUAAUAAAUUCUUGGCUUGGCGCACCCCUCCAAACUUUAGUUAAUAAAUUUUUGUUUAGUUAAGAGUUUUCUACAAUGCUCAUGAGAUCUGGACAGCCUGUUAGAAUGAACUUAUAAACAGAUGGUUGGAACUAGUGGAAUGAGUAUGUAAAUCCUUUAUUUAAUAUUAUUUUUGUAGGUAGUAGGUGUUAUUGAUGUAAAGGUUAUGAGACAACUGUGAAAGAUGGUUUUUGUGAUUAGGUUAAGGGCAUUAUUAGUUAGUGGCUUCUGUAACCACCCGCAUUACUUCUAGUUCUUUAUGUGUGUGUUCAUUUGUUUGACAUAAUUUUUCGUCAUACUAAAUUGCAGCUGGAUGAACAUAGGCAACAUAUGAAGAAUUGCCAGAAUUUUGGAUGAGGAGCAUGCCAACUAUUUUGUGUAAAUAUUAUUGAAAAUCCUCAACGUGUAUGAGGUAGUUAAACACAUCAAUCAAGGUUACUAAUGGGUCUCAAACAAAGGAUACUGUGAAGUCAUCACAACCAGAAAACAAAGUUACAAAGCGGGCUUCAGCAAUCACGAUUUGUGUGACGAUUUUUUUCAACCUUGCAUGUGGUGAUGUGGACGUUUCGGGUAUACUGCAUUUGGGAAUGAUACACCGGAACCUCUUGACAGGCUUUGGAUUUUAUGAACCUUAUUGGCUCAUCGCCUUUGCUAACGCGUGCAGGAUAUCAACUAAGUUCAUCGAUGGAUAUUGAGAGUGAAGUUCAAGUUGAUGUAUUAAUAACAGAAGAAGAAUUCAAUCCCCCAAUUUCAGUAUGUACCUGUGGUGAUUGGACAACGUUUCUGAAGCGCCUUUCUGCACUUCUACAUAUCAACAAGAUAUUUGAGCUAGGAAUUUCUGAUAAUCUUCAGGAACAUGCCAACUAUUUAAUGUGAAUAUCGUUGAGAAGGUAUAUAUGCUAUGCUGCAUUUGGGAAUGAUACACCAGGAAACCUCUGGACUGGUCUUGUCGGCAAUGCUAAUCAUGGGCGAAACUUUUAAGGGGCGGGAGGGGGUGGCCGAGCUCUCGAACUUUUCGCUCAGUAGUGGAGAGUAUGUAGUUUUCGUAUAGAAAUUUUGCUUAUAUACGUUUUCGACCCUCUGGUUUUAUAGAAAUUUUUAGGUCCGGUGACUUCUGCCUCUCCAGUCGGAAAUCUCAAGCUUCGCCACUGAUGCUAAUACUUGCAUUAUAAUGCAUCAAAUAGGAGGAUAUCAAGUAAACCUUAGCUACUUCAUAUAAACAAGUCAUCUUUGACUUUUAAUGUCCGACACACGCUCAUUUGUACUGAAAAAUUACAAUUUCGCCCACAGUUUAAAAUUAUAGUUUUUUCA